UUAAAAUUGAAUUUAACAUGAGUCGAAAGAAGAUAAGCAUGGCCCCUGUGCAAGGAUGACACACAAAUCGAGAAAUGACCCAAAUUUUU
rnacentral:snRNA from 1 species